rnacentral:lncRNA from 1 species
UUUUUUUUUUUUUUUUUUUUUGCACUACUGUAUUCAGCCCUGACUCUUUUACUUUUUUUUUUUUUUUUAAAUAUGGGUUAAACGCUUCCUUAUCCUCUAAUCAUUUCCACAAUAUAGGGCCAGGCGGUGUGCCAGCAGGUUUCAUGGAAAUGUAAGCACUACAAAGUUCUAAUCCAGCCAUAGGAGUAUUAAGAAAUGGCCAUCACUAAAUUAGGGACGAAUCUUUGAAACUUGUUCAAUCAUUUGCAAUUCUUGUGCAUUACUUCAGCUCUAGUUUAUAAGGUAAAACACAUUCUCCAUGUCGGUGAGGGAUUAACUUUCAUUUUGAUUAAAUUAGGCAAAUCAUAUAUUUUUUUCCAUUCCAUAAUAAUUCUCUAACACUCUACCUUCCUUCGCAUCAUAAAAUGCAAGGUAAAGUAUUAAAAGCUAUUCUUGAAGUACAAAUGCCACUUGUUUUAAAUUAAGAGCGAAAUAAGUCAUUUUAUAAUUUGGGAUCAGUUAGUCUGUAGUAAAUGUAUCACAUGAGAAAAAGGACAUUUAGGGCUUGUUCUCAACUGAUAUUGAUUUUAUAAAAGUUGAUUUUAUAAAUUUGAUUUUUGAAAAUCAAAUUCUUUAGAAUAACUCAUGUGUUCUCAUUUACUAUUAGAAAAGCCAUUUUAAUAAAUGCAUAGGUAUUCUCAAAAAAGAAAAAGAGUUAAAAAGCUGAUUUUGAUAGAAAGAUGACCUUGUUACCCUUAUGUGUUACAAAAAUACAUUUCUGUGCUAAUUAAAUAACUUUUUAAUUUAAUUAAUUAAUUUUCUUAUGAAGAUUAAAUGGCGGAUGCGAAAAUUAAAGUUUACAUAGAUGAAUCUGAAAGUGAGAUAAGAAUUGGAAGAAAAUAGAAAGUCUAUAAAAAGUUACCUAAUCUUUAGGUAAUUUAGUAAUUAUGUUAAAAUUUGAAGGGUAAUUUAGUCUAAAUGAAAAAGAAGGCCAAAAUCAAAAUACAAACGCAACUCAAAACCUGCUUCUGAUUUUCAACUUUUUUGGACCCAAAAAAUCUAAAAUCAAUUUUUUAAAAUCAAUUGAGAACACAAUAAAAUGGCCUUUUAUAUAAUAAUCUUGGUUCAAGGGAAAAAUAAAUAAAUCAUCCAACGACCAAGGAUACAAUAAAGAUACAUCAAAGUCAAGUUGACGUCUACAAGCUAGCGUAUUUAUGAUUUGAUUUUUAAAAGGCAAAGAAAAGAAAAAUCAAAAGGUGGGAGAUACAAAUGCAAAUAUAACAAGAGUUUGAAAACCGUAGAACUUAACUUUCUUUUACUUUUAUUUUUUACUUUAGGUCUUAACUUUCUUCAGCUGCCCUUUGUCUCAUAGAACACACAUCACAGACUGUCCAAAUACAUUGCAGAUUCAAAGUAUUUAUAUGUCGUCAUUGAUGUAUUCAGCUGUGAUAUCAGACAAUGCUAAAACAAUGAAACAAUUUUGGUGGAGUAUAGAAGAUUGCCAUUUUCAGUGACGUAGCCAAAUCAUGAUCAGAUCAAGAACAUGGUAUGGUGUUCAAUUUUCCCUUUUUUUUUUUUUUUUGGUUUUUUUGGCCCACUUCUUCUUAUUUAUUCCUUUUCUGUACCUAAUUUAGAGAAAAUAUGGAAGAAGAACAUUAUGGGGAUUAUAGGAAAACUACAAUCCUUUCUGAUGAGUUGCAUCUCCCCUUAGAUUAGAUGAAAAUCAUAAAUUCAUCACCGACAAAGUCCAAAAUAGCCACUUGGAAAAUUUGGCCGCUUUAAUCAUUAGCAAGCAAUGAAAUUUUUACAUUUGAGAUUACAGAUUGCGUCACUUCAUCUAAUCCAACAUUUGGGCAUGGUCAUUUAUGUCUAACUGAAUGAGUUACAAGCAAUAGAGACAAAACUAUCAUCCAUAAGGUCCCGCUUGGAGUUGCAAUGCGUUUACAAAAAAAAAAAAAAAAGCUUUUAAGUAUUGAAAGUAUUUAUAAGUUGUUUGAUAACUAAUUUUACGUUAUUUAAAUAGCCCAAUUUUUUGUAGUUUAAAAGCACUUGUAUCAUAACUGUUUUUUUAAAAGCUACCGCAGUUUUAGAUGGGACGUAAAUCUCUUUAAAUCUUUUUUUUUUGUUAGUGACCAUAUAAAUUGUAGGCUUCAUAUCACCACGGUUAAAAAUGUGUUUUUUUUUCUAUAAAAAUGUAAAAUUGUAUUAGAAAAUAGGCUACAAUUCAAGUUGGAUGGUUAGUUGAAAAUUUUUAUAGUAACCUAUCUCUUCUUUUGAUAUUUUAUUUUGCCUGAAUGUGAUUGAUGGCAUAGAAUAGAACACCCGUUCUCUUUCCACACGGACUACUGACAAAAACAGUAAACCUGUAGCUAUAUGUUGAGGACAACAUUUUUUAGAUUUAUAUUGGCUAAUAUAGAGGUUGGACAAACGGGCAUUUGGUCUAGUGGUAUGAUUCUCGCUUAGGGUGCGAGAGGUCCCGAGUUCAAUUCUCGGAAUGCCCCAACAUUUGUGCUAAUUUUUUUUUUGACAGGAAACUGCAUGAGUCAUGAAGCCACAUUACAGACCAGGUAAAGCAAAUGUCAUCAAAAUCUGAACAGUACUAGUAUUUAAGUGAACCAAAGGUGGAAUUUUCUCUUUAUAUUAUACAUCCCAACAACAUAGUACAUUUACAGUUGAUCUAGAGAAAAAUAACUACAACUCCCCUAGUAAUUUUAUUGGCAUGGGAAGGGGCCAGUUGAAUGGAACACUUAGUAAUUUGAUGAAGAACUUGUUAGAGGCCUAAGGUCCACAGCAUUUCAUGCCAUAUCUUCUUCCCACAAUCUUUAUUGUCAUUCUUCCCCAUGCUAGCUCCAAAUCUUCAAAAGGUCUUAGACAUAAUUCAUGCCCAAGAGUAGCAAAAUUUUCUCCACAAAUGGGGAAGCAUCCUCACUACGAGUAGAACGUAUACUACUACGCGAAAUCAAUGAUACAUCAAAACUUGCCAGACCCAAAAUUACCAUUGUUGCUUAAAGGACCAAAAGGACUUCCUGCAUCAUUACUUUUGGCCCCCGCAAGUGUUUUUGUUCCCUCUUCAAUGCCUUCAUGGAUUCCUUCCGCCUUGGAAGCAGGGGCUUGUUGCCCCCUAAAAACACCCCACAGAUAAUACUUCCCCUGAAAUCCUGUAAAAGGCAUUUGUUAAGACACUCAAUUCUAAGCAAGUCUAAAAUGCUAAAGUGUCUCAUCAAUUAAAGGAGAUGCAACUCACUCCAGUAACUAAGUGGCAGUUCAUUAGAGGCAAAAAUCAAGAGCUCUGCAUUUUUGACAAUUGCUUUCAUAGCAAGUUCUUGGUCCAUCAUCUCCUCAACCAAACAAUCAAAAAGCCCUUCAGACCUGCAGGUAAGAGCCUCAAAGUUCAAAAUGAGCCAAAUUUUGGACAAAUAAAGUGGGUUAGGGCAGGGCAAAGUACUGAAAGCAAUACCUUUUAUCCAAUGGAAAGAAAUAUAGUGCAAUAUUGUCAUCAGAUGGCUGUGAUUUUUGAAAACUCUUUGGCCAGCAAUCCAUUUUGGCAAGCAUUUCAAGUUCAAGCGCUGAUGGCAACAAGAUUGCCUCCUCAUAUACUUUCUCACAUGCUUUGCUAGAUAAAUGAGCUACUAAUCCAUCAUCAAAUUCUUGAUAAUCCUUGUUCAGUAUGACAAAAUUUCCCCUGCAAGUAAAUUAGGAAAGAAAGUCAACAUGGUCACUAAGCAUGUAUUUAUUUAAUUUUUUUAAGCAAACAUGUAUAACUUAGUUCACCAAUAACAUAUAAACCAAAUAAUCAUCAACCUCCAGAUUGGCUCAAUACGUGGCACUGCCUGUUCACGAUUGUCAACGGUUAAAUUAUUUUCUAAAUGACCUGAUGCUAAUUGAGAACCCUCCAAGCAUUCCCCAGCACCUUUUUGUGGCAAAUUAGCUGAUGAAAAUUUAACCUCCAUUCUCUCCUUUUUGAGCUUCUCGAGCGAAGACAGCUCAUGAUCAUCCACCUUGGCUGCUGGGCAAGAAGUCUCGUUCAUCUCUAAUUCUGUAGACAAUGGAGUAUUGGUAGCACUAGCAGCAUGCUGAUCUUGCUCAGUGUGCCCAUGCUGUGGUCCUCUUCUUUUUCUUUCUUCGCUGGUGAUGACCAUCUUUUGUCCUUCAAGACCUUUUAAAGUUGUAUUAUUCCUUCCCUCACGAGCACUGUUGCUUUUCUCUGCUAGCUCCAGCUCUGUGCUUUCUUCAACCAGAUGAAAUCUAUGGUCCACCCCGGCUACUGAGCAAAAGCCCACAUGCUCCUUGCAUUCUGCUGACAACGGAGAAUUGGAAGUCAAUUCAUCAUGUAGUGAAGAUAACUCAUGUUCUAUGUUGCUUCUCUCUGUCAGCUCCAGCUUUCUAUCUGUAUCACCAGUUUGAAGUCUAUGAUCUUCCACCUCGGCUAUUGAGCAACAGGCCUCUUUCUCCUUUAAAUCUGUUGACAAUGAACUGGUAGCCAAAACAGUAUCUUGAACUUGCUCAGAGGGGCUAACCCUAAGCUGCAGUAUUUUUCUUUUUCUGCCUUUACUGGCAACAACCAUCUCUUCUCCUUCAAUAUCUUUUGAGCUUGUAUCCAAGCCAUUGCUUUUCUCUGUUAGCUCUAGGUCUGUGCUUGCAUCAACCAGUUGAAAUCUAUGAUCUUUCACCUUGGUUGCUGAGCAAGAGCCCUCUUUCUUCUCCAACCCUGUUAAUAGUGGAGAGCUCAUAGCCAGUUCAACAUCUUCAAGUAGACUAGAGGGUCUACUUUCAAGUCUUUCAUCGUCUUCCUGUCCUAACAGUGCUACACUCUUUUUCUUCGGCCUCAGUCUUGGUCUUCUUCUUUCUCCUUCAACGACUGUCAACUGUCCAUCAACAUCUUUAAAGCCAGUAUGGACCCUUUCCUCAUCUUGAACAGGGUUAAAUUUCAUGGAAGGUAAUUCCUUUGACAAGUCAACCUCACAUAUAUCACAAACCCAAUGGACGAAUUCAUCGAGUUUUUCUGGUAACUUAUCUAGGCAAUAUCUGCAGAGGAAGCAAAUGGUAAAGCAAACGAAAAACAUUUAACUCUCAGACUGAUCCACCUCCAACACAAAAACCAAAAAUCAUGAAAAUCAAGCGUAUGGUUGUACAUUUUUAUAUUAAGAAGAAACGUGACUGUUAUCUUUAAUGAAAUUAAAUAGUCAGGCCAAAAAUCAUGAUAAGUAAUGUGCAGUAGUAGUGAAGCAAUUAUGUUUUGAAUUUUAAAGUAUGACAAUUCUGCUGCACUAUACUUGUUUGAUCAACUUCUCUGUUUUGCAGGGUGUUUGAAUGCAUAGAUGCACACAGCAGGUAAUGUCUCUGUGUUUGUUUUGGCGUACAAAAUUUUUUUUUUUUUGGGGUGUUGGGGGGGGGGGGGGGGUAUUUAUACCCAAAUAGGUGCAGAAAUCAUGGAAGACUAGAGGUACCAAUUCAACAUACCUGUGAAUAAAAUAUUUCUGACACUUCACACAUUCAUUCAAUGCACUAGAAAAUCCUUUGUCACCACAUUGCAGGCAAACUCUCACCUGCAACACCAAGCAAACAGAUUGUAGCAUCAUAUAGACAGCCAAAUAACAUGAGCUUAAGGCCAUUGGGCCUGCAAACACCAUCAAAUUUGAUAAAACAGCAAUUAUCCAAGAAUAUCUGUUGGAUAUCCAUUAUGCCACUAAGAAGAAAAUAUUUGGCAGGGGAUAACGCUUACCCUUUGAAGGAGGUCAGACAAGGGCACAAUUAGAGUAAACUCAGACAUACAAAAAGGUACAUAAUUCUUCCCCAAAACCAGACACCUUGAGCAAACAAAUGAAACUCGUUUUUGCAGAAGAAAGAUAAUUGUGAGAACUCUAUAGAUUAUUGCAACGCAAGAGUAUGAGCAAGCAUUCUAAACCAAAAGCUGUUCAAGCAUCUAAGGUGGCAUGUUCAUUCAGCAAAUGAUAUACUACAAAAGAAUGUUUGAGUGCCAUUCAGAACAUGAAUAUUAACUUAGAACUUCGAUAACAACUUGGUUUGAGUUCUCAUAAUUACCCACCAUAUGUGUCAACUACUAAGAAAUCAAAUUACUGAAAGAAGUAGAAAAAGGAAGUUUCAUCAACUUCUAUUGUUUCACAGUCAGGUCAGAAAAGACCAGCACAUAUAUGAAUGCCAAAAUAUUACAGCAUGCCACGGAAAAAGUUGGCAUAUAUCAUGAGUUCCUCAGCAAUGGAUGAUACCAGCAUUAAUUCUGAUCUUAGGUAGGUUAUCAACAAGAAGAAUGUUGCACUGUGCAGUAAACUUGUCAAAUCCUCAGAAUAUUGUUACUUCCCCAAAAAAUCUGCCAAAUAUGGCUGUGUGGAACUCGCGUACUAAAGUAUGCCCGUCGCGCCAUGUAGGCAUGACGGGAGGUCAAUAUUUAAAAAAAAUAAUAAAAAAAAAAGACAAAGGACCAUCGGCCCUACAUUGCGUGACGGCUGACACCUUUGAAAAAAAAUAUGGCCUGUUGCGCCAUGGGCCUGACACCUUUGGAAAAAAAAAAGGACCAUUUCUAUGUAGCCAUUCAUUGGAAGAUUCAUCAACGGCUACCUAGAAAUGGUCUUUUUUUUUUUUCCAAAGGUGUCAGGCCCGUUGCGCCAACAUAUUUUUUUCGAAAAGCUGUCAGCUGCGACGAAGCUGUCAGCCGUCACGCCACCAUGGCGCAACGGCCUGACAGAUUUUUAAAAAAAAAUUAAAACUGGGCCGUCACGCCAUGUAGGACCGAUGGCCCUGUCUUUUUUUUUUAAAAAAAAAUCUCGACCUCCCGUCACGCCAUGCAUACUUUAAUACACGAGUUCCACACAACCAUAUUGGGCAGAUUUUUUUUUGGAAGGACAAAUAUUCUGAGGAUUUGCCCAGUAAACUUGGUAAACAGAAUUAAGUAAAAAAGAACAAUAACGCCAUUAAAUAUGUCUGCUGAUGAAUCUACAACAUGUACAAGAAGUACUUUCACUUUGUAUGGAACAAACCAUUCCAUCUUCAGAAUUUGAAAAACACAGAGUAGACUAAACAUCAAAAGAAGAAGCCCUAGGAUCUGAUACAUCUCCAUAGUACAGUCAGGUCAGUCUUACCGAAUCACAACAUGAACUCCAAUAAACAAACCUAUCAGAUGAUCAGAAACAUGUUCUUUGAUUACCUUUUUAUCUUCUCAGCAUUACACCUUGUGAAAAGGGAAUGCCUUUCAUACUUUAGAAAGAAAGGACUCCUACAGCAUCAUAUCCAUUUUAUCAACAAACUAAAAUUAUUCAUCCGUCCUUAUCCUGAUGGUGCACGGAUAAUUAUGACCCUCUUCAGCAACUCUCCUCAAAACCAAAAACAACUCCACAGCGACACAUAUGCCAACCGCACUAUGUUCUCUAUAUUCAUUUUCCCUACUAAUCAUAUUGCCAUAGACACUUAUAAAUUUGCUCAUUAAAUAACCAAACAGAUAACGAAAAGGGACUGCAUAGUUACAAAAUUUCCCAGAUAAUUGGACCCCCAAUUCCAAAACUUUCCCGGGCCUCAAAUGGAAGAAAAAAAAAUGAAACUUUAGAAGUAAUUCCUUCCUACAAAAGGAUGAAUCCCGGAACCAAAUUAUCAAAUCAGCAUUCAAUGAACAGAAACUUAAAGAUUACUCCUUUAGAAAAAAAGGAUUAUUAUCUGCAUGCAACAAGAUAUACUACAUUUCAUGUUUGGACUAUGUCCAAUUACACGCAUCAAGUACAACAGAAAUUCGCUAAAAAAAAAUAUACACAUUCAACAAAAUAUGGAAGAAAAAACUACCAUGGUGGGAUAAUUUGAAGAGCCCGGGAAGAAACCAAUCAAAGCUAACGAAUUUCAGGAAAAUCCCAUCACAGACCUCAUUUCAACAGCCAAACUAGAAGAGCCCUAAUAGUGAAAUUCUGUUCUUUGAAAGAGUAAAACCUCAAGGCCCUCUUUGGAUUGGCAAAGAAUACUAGUAAAAAAGACAAUCAAAUCAGUGAAAAAUUUGUCAGGGCUUUUUCCUGCGACUGAUUAGUGACAAUUCAAGUAAGGCAUUAAUGGGAAAUGGGGAUUUUGAGGAGCACUAUUUUCUUUUUUUCCCCCACUUUCUUUUUCGAAUUUUUCAGCAACCCUGUAUAAAAUAUAAAUAGCGCCAACAGAAUAGAACAGAGGAGUGUAAAUUCCGGAGAGUACAGGUACUGAGCGGCAAGAAAAUGGAACUCAGGCUGGCGUUGGUGCUUCACGCGCUGGCUGCCCGGGUAAAUUUUUGAGGUUUUCGUUUCUAUUGAUGUUUUGGGGGUAUUUGGUUUGUUAAUUUUUGGAUUUUUAAUGAUUUUCAUGCUGUAAAUUUGAUAAUACUUGAUCAAAUUAACUAACAAAAGUUAAUAUAUAAACUCAAGAUUUGAUAACCCUGUAAACUUAAUAUAUGAAUGCUAACAAAAGUUAGAAAAAAUAAAGACAAGAAGCUCAAAUAGGAAAAUGUAUUACUCUUUAGGGAAAUCAGAAAUGUCAUUUGCAUUCCGUUUUUUGUUAUUUAUACUCUCACCAUUUGUUUUAUCACAUAGUCUAAUAAAUAAAAAUUUUAUGAUUAAAACGAUAAUAAAAGUGUGAUUAACAAAAUUGGAAGGACAAAUAACAUUUCCGUGUUCUUUAUUAUCUUUAUCUCAUCAGGUACAUCUCUUCAAUACUUACAAAUGAGGUUUCAAUGAUCUCUGUUAAUGGGGAAGUUUAUAUCCUUUGAAGUGUUAUGAAUUUAUUGAUGAAUCAUUAGUGGAGAUGAAUGUAUUAAUUAAUUUAUUUAGAGGGAUGAAUGUACAUCCGUAUUCCAUUAAUUUCAUAACAUAUACACUAAAUAGACUCAAAAAAAAAAAACCUUCUUGCUUUUAUCAUGCAUCUUCCUUUAAUUGAUAAAUUAAAGUGAAUUUUUCAAUUUAAAAAUGUUUAAAUAAAAAAUCUUCUAGCAUUGUUAUCAAAACAAUAAAAAAAAACACUUGCUUUUAUUAUUUCUUGUAUAAGAAAUUGCACAUAUAACUUUUAUCAUGUAUCCUACAUGAAUUAGCAACCAAAUGCAAAGGCAUGACUUCACUGUUGUAUCACAAAUUAUUACCAUUGAAAAUUCUCCUCUUGCUACAAAUAUUUCAAUUAUUUUGACUGGAGUGAAUUUCAAUCUCCCACUUACUUUCCAAUGAGAAAGAAAUGAUUUCACUGACAGUGUGUAUAAAAUUAAUUCUUAGAUGGUUUUCGUUUAUUAUACCUCAAUCAGAAAGCAAAAGUAAGGGAAUUUCUUUCCCAUUAGGAAGUAGUAAAUAAGUAGGAGAUUAAAAUUCAUUCUAUAAGAUGAACUCUUAACUUUUAAGUUUUAUCUACCUUAACAUCUUAAAUUUUCUGUAUUCCCUCUAACUGAAAAUGUAUCAAUCAUUUAUCUUUCACAGUUAACUGUGAUUAGAGUUCAAAUGCAGCAAAAUAUCUCUUGCCACAUUUUCUUGUUCCUUUAUCCAUUCUCUAUUCUGGUUUGGGCAUUGGCUUUUAUGGAUGGAAAGAACAAUUGCAAUGACAUUAUUCUUUCUAAGCUUUGGUCCAAAUUAUCUUACAGCUUUCCGUGAAGUAAAUUUUCACCUCAUCAUUAUAUCCAACAAAGAAGUGGCCACCAACCACCAAGUAAUAGUUUGAGGAUUAAUUUUACCGGUGCUGUUUUCAUCAAACACUUGAGUUUAUGGUGACAAUCAAGUGCAAUUAGGUUGAUAAGAUGCUUUACUUGUAAUCAUAUAUAUAAACAAGUGAUCACGGAUUCGAAUCAUCCAGACGUAAGUGGGAAUCACUAGUAAUCUUCCUUAUUAUGAAAAAGAUUCUAAAAUAAUAAUAAUAACCAAGUUUAUGAAGGUUGUCGUUCGCAUUAGUGAUGGAUUAUUCAUGGAUGCUCUUGCUAAAAAAAAAAACUAUGGGAAGAAGGCAUUCUACUUUCACACAAAACAGAAAGGGCAGUGAAAAUAAUCAAAUGUGAUUACCAGGAGGGGAAGGCCUAAAGCCUUACCUCAAUAAUUACAUAAAAGAUCAAGUCCUAAUGUGAGUGCAUCACACUUUAUCUAAUCUAAAACAACAUUAGCUAAUGCAAAGAAAAAGGCUUACCAUAGAAAUGAUUACAAGUUGAGAAGCAUCCUACAUUAGACAUAAUAUCCGCGGACUGACUACAUUGAAUGAUUAAACAAGAAACUAAUACCCUCUACCUUUCUAGCAGCUGAACCUAUGUUGAACAAGUGAAAGGUUUGCUUUUCCUGUCCAGACUAUUCCGAAGGGCUCUGAGAACCAUU